AGUGAACGCUGGCGGUAGGCCUAACACAUGCAAGUCGAACGGUAGCACAGUAAGAGCUUGCUCUUACGGGUGGCGAGUGGCGGACGGGUGAGGAAUACAUCGGAAUCUACUUUUUCGUGGGGGAUAACGUAGGGAAACUUACGCUAAUACCGCAUACGACCUACGGGUGAAAGCAGGGGAUCUUCGGACCUUGCGCGAUUGAAUGAGCCGAUGUCGGAUUAGCUAGUUGGCGGGGUAAAGGCCCACCAAGGCGACGAUCCGUAGCUGGUCUGAGAGGAUGAUCAGCCGCACUGGAACUGAGACACGGUCCAGACUCCUACGGGAGGCAGCAGUGGGGAAUAUUGGACAAUGGGCGCAAGCCUGAUCCAGCCAUACCGCGUGGGUGAAGAAGGCCUUCGGGUUGUAAAGCCCUUUUGUUGGGAAAGAAAAGCAGCAGGUUAAUACCCCGCUGUUCUGACGGUACCCAAAGAAUAAGCACCGGCUAACUUCGUG
rnacentral:rRNA from 1 species